rnacentral:lncRNA from 1 species
UAAAUAGUUGAAUAAGAAUUACACUUACUUGGAAGUAGAAAUUAACCGGAAAUAUGAAGAACGAAAAAUCGACUGAGGCUUGCAAAAGCAAUGUCCUUAAGACAAUAUUUCCGGGCUGUCUACGGUGCAACAGUCACUCCCGGUAGUCUCCCAAGAUACAACAGUCGGAUACUUCGAUAUUUGCACAAAUUCGAAGCCCACGGCGAACUAGAAACGUAGGAACGAAAUUUUGACAGAAGAG